rnacentral:tRNA from 1 species
AAGAAGGUAGCAUAGUGGCUAUGCGGCUGGUUUGAAACCAGAUUAUGGUGGUUCGAUUCCGUCCCGUCUUG